AACGAACGCUGGCGGCAGGCCUAACACAUGCAAGUCGAGCGGACCUUUCGGGGUCAGCGGCGGACGGGUGAGUAACGCGUGGGAAUAUGCCCUUCUCUACGGAAUAGUCCUGGGAAACUGGGGGUAAUACCGUAUACGCCCUUUGGGGGAAAGAUUUAUCGGGGAAGGAUUAGCCCGCGUUGGAUUAGGUAGUUGGUGGGGUAAUGGCCUACCAAGCCGACGAUCCAUAGCUGGUUUGAGAGGAUGAUGAGCCACACUGGGACUGAGACACGGCCCAGACUCCUACGGGAGGCAGCAGUGGGGAAUCUUAGACAAUGGGGGCAACCCUGAUCUAGCCAUGCCGCGUGAGUGAUGAAGGCCUUAGGGUUGUAAAGCUCUUUCAGCUGGGAAGAUAAUGACGGUACCAGCAGAAGAAGCCCCGGCUAACUCCGUG
rnacentral:rRNA from 1 species